rnacentral:rRNA from 1 species
ACUCCUACGGGAGGCAGCAGUGGGGAAUAUUGGACAAUGGGCGCAAGCCUGAUCCAGCCAUGCCGCGUGAGUGAUGAAGGCCCUAGGGUUGUAAAGCUCUUUCACCGGUGAAGAUAAUGACGGUAACCGGAGAAGAAGCCCCGGCUAACUUCGUGCCAGCAGCCGCGGUAAUACGAAGGGGGCUAGCGUUGUUCGGAUUUACUGGGCGUAAAGCGCACGUAGGCGGACUAUUAAGUCAGGGGUGAAAUCCCGGGGCUCAACCCCGGAACUGCCUUUGAUACUGGUAGUCUUGAGUUCGAGAGAGGUGAGUGGAAUUCCGAGUGUAGAGGUGAAAUUCGUAGAUAUUCGGAGGAACACCAGUGGCGAAGGCGGCUCACUGGCUCGAUACUGACGCUGAGGUGCGAAAGCGUGGGGAGCAAACAGGAUUAGAAACCCGGGUAGUCCCAUGA